GACGAACGCUGGCGGCGUGCUUAACACAUGCAAGUCGAACGAUGAAGCCUAGCUUGCUAGGUGGAUUAGUGGCGAACGGGUGAGUAAUACGUGAGUGACCUACCUUUGACUCUGGGAUAAGCCUGGGAAACUGGGUCUAAUACCGGAUACGACCAAUCUCUGCAUGGGGUGUUGGUGGAAAGCGUUAUGGAGUGGUUUUAGAUGGGCUCACGGCCUAUCAGCUUGUUGGUGAGGUAAUGGCUUACCAAGGCGACGACGGGUAGCCGGCCUGAGAGGGUGACCGGCCACACUGGGACUGAGACACGGCCCAGACUCCUACGGGAGGCAGCAGUGGGGAAUAUUGCACAAUGGGCGCAAGCCUGAUGCAGCGACGCCGCGUGAGGGAUGACGGCCUUCGGGUUGUAAACCUCUGUUAGCAUCGAAGAAGCGAAAGUGACGGUAGGUGCAGAGAAAGCGCCGGCUAACUACGUGCCAGCAGCCGCGGUAAUACGUAGGGCGCGAGCGUUGUCCGGUAUUAUUGGGCGUAAAGAGCUUGUAGGCGGUUGGUCGCGUCUGCUGUGAAAGGCCGGGGCUUAACCUCCGGUUUUGCAGUGGGUACGGGCUAACUAGAGUGCAGUAGGGGAGACUGGAAUUCCUGGUGUAGCGGUGGAAUGCACAGAUAUCAGGAGGAACACCGAUGGCGAAGGCAGGUCUCUGGGCUGUAACUGACGCUGAGAAGCGAAAGCAUGGGGAGCGAACAGGAUUAGAUACCCUGGUAGUCCAUGCCGUAAACGUUGGGCACUAGGUGUGGGGGACAUUCCACGUUUUCCGCGCCGUAGCUAACGCAUUAAGUGCCCCGCCUGGGGAGUACGGCCGCAAGGCUAAAACUCAAAGGAAUUGACGGGGGCCCGCACAAGCGGCGGAGCAUGCGGAUUAAUUCGAUGCAACGCGAAGAACCUUACCAAGGCUUGACAUGCAUUAGAUCGCGUCAGAGAUGGCGUUUCCCUUCGGGGCUGGUGUACAGGUGGUGCAUGGUUGUCGUCAGCUCGUGUCGUGAGAUGUUGGGUUAAGUCCCGCAACGAGCGCAACCCUCGUUCUAUGUUGCCAGCGGUUCGGCCGGGGACUCAUAGGAGACUGCCGGGGUUAACUCGGAGGAAGGUGGGGAUGACGUCAAAUCAUCAUGCCCCUUAUGUCUUGGGCUUCACGCAUGCUACAAUGGCCGGUACAGAGGGUUGCGAUACUGUGAGGUGGAGCUAAUCCCUUAAAGCCGGUCUCAGUUCGGAUUGGGGUCUGCAACUCGACCCCAUGAAGUCGGAGUCGCUAGUAAUCGCAGAUCAGCAACGCUGCGGUGAAUACGUUCCCGGGCCU
rnacentral:rRNA from 1 species